AGCAGCCGCGGUAAUUCCAGCUCCAAUAGCGUAUAUUAAAGUUGUUGCAGUUAAAAAGCUCGUAGUUGAAUUUCGGGAUUGACACAUCGGUCGUGCCUUAAGGGGUAUGAACUGGUGUAGUCAAUUUCUCACCUUCUGGAGAACCGCGAUGCCCUUAAUUGGGUGUCGCGGGGAACCAGGACCUUUACUUUGAAAAAAUUAGAGUGUUUAAAGCAGGCAUUUUGCUUGAAUACAUUAGCAUGGAAUAAUAAAAUAGGACGGCAUGAUUCUAUUUUGUUGGUUUCUAGGAUCACCGUAAUGAUUAAUAGGGAUAGUUGGGGGCAUUAGUAUUCAAUUGUCAGAGGUGAAAUUCUUGGAUUUAUUGAAGACUAACUACUGCGAAAGCAUUUGCCAAGGAUGUUUUCAUUAAUCAAGGACGAAGGUUAGGGGAUCGAAGACGAUCAGAUACCGUCGUAGUCUUAACCAUAAACUAUGCCGACUAGGAAUCAGACGAUGUUAAUUUUUUAAUGACUCGUUUGGC
rnacentral:rRNA from 1 species